rnacentral:rRNA from 1 species
UACAGAGGUCUCAAGCGUUGUUCGGAUUCAUUGGGCGUAAAGGGUGCGUAGGUGGCGGGGUAAGUCAGGUGUGAAAUUUCGGAGCUCAACUCCGAAACUGCAUUUGAUACUGCCUUGCUUGAGGACUGGAGAGGAGACUGGAAUUCACGGUGUAGCAGUGAAAUGCGUAGAGAUCGUGAGGAAGACCAGUGGCGAAGGCGGGUCUCUGGACAGUUCCUGACACUGAGGCACGAAAGGCCAGGGGGAGCAAAACGGGG